GCCAGACUCCUACGGGAGGCAGCAGUGGGGAAUAUUGCACAAUGGGGGAAACCCUGAUGCAGCGACGCCGCGUGAGUGAAGAAGUAUUUCGGUAUGUAAAGCUCUAUCAGCAGGAACGAGACAAGACGGUACCUGACUAAGAAGCCCCGGCUAACUACGUGCCAGCAGCCGCGGUAAUACGUAGGGGGCAAGCGUUAUCCGGAAUCACUGGGUGUAAAGGGAGCGUAGACGGCUGUGCAAGCCUGAAGUGAAAGGCGGGGGCCCAACCCCCGGACUGCUUUGGGAACUGUACGGCUGGAGUGCAGGAGAGGUAAGUGGAAUUCCUAGUGUAGCGGUGAAGUGCGUAGAUAUUAGGAGGAACACCAGUGGCGAAGGCGGCUUACUGGACUGUAACUGACGUUGAGGCUCGAAAGCGUGGGGAGCAAACAGGAUUAGAUACCCCCGUAC
rnacentral:rRNA from 1 species